GACGAACGCUGGCGGCGUGCUUAGCACAUGCAAGUCGAACGGAAAGGCCCUGCUUUUGUGGGGUGCUCGAGUGGCGAACGGGUGAGUAACACGUGAGUAACCUGCCCUUGACUUUGGGAUAACUUCAGGAAACUGGGGCUAAUACCGGAUAGGAGCUCCUGCUGCAUGGUGGGGGUUGGAAAGUUUCGGCGGUUGGGGAUGGACUCGCGGCUUAUCAGCUUGUUGGUGGGGUAGUGGCUUACCAAGGCUUUGACGGGUAGCCGGCCUGAGAGGGUGACCGGCCACAUUGGGACUGAGAUACGGCCCAGACUCCUACGGGAGGCAGCAGUGGGGAAUAUUGCACAAUGGGCGGAAGCCUGAUGCAGCAACGCCGCGUGCGGGAUGACGGCCUUCGGGUUGUAAACCGCUUUCGCCUGUGACGAAGCGUGAGUGACGGCAAUGGGUAAAGAAGCACCGGCUAACUACGUG
rnacentral:rRNA from 1 species